rnacentral:lncRNA from 1 species
ACUCGCGAACCUCACAUGCAGAAUUAGCCAUGUGCACAGGCCUAAGAAGCCGAACGCGCGCCAUGCGUGGACAAGCCCGCGGAUGACCCGAGGGCCCAAGCCCGCCAGCCCAUGACUCUCGCAGGCCUUUUUUCGCAUAACCGGUGCAAACCGGCUAGCCCGGCCCAUUCGGGUAGCCCAACCGGUCGACCCCUCUUUUCCUUUAUUUUAAAAUAUUGUAUAAUAUUUAUUUUACUUU